UUCAGUUUUCGAACAUGCGCAACGAAAUCGUCUUAGUUUGCAAGGACUUUGUGCGACGAUUUAAGAUGAUUUCGUCACGCAAGGGUCUUCAAUAGUAAAAUAAUUAAACGAAAAAUUGGGCGGAUUUUAAAUUUUUCGACAGACACCUUCAUUGCGCAAAGUGCAUCGUAUUAAAACUUAUAGAGAGCACCUCUUCUCUCAUUCUUCCUCGCGAACCCAACUACUCUCUCUCACUGUCCGUCUUCCCAAACCUCUAUCUCUAAUACAGGCUUUCUCUCGCCUUCUCUCUCGCCUCUGUCACCUCUCUCUCUUAGGCAAGUUUCUCACCAUUGCAACAACCAAAACCCUCAACUGUCAUCUCUCACUUCAUCGCAGUUGUUGUAGUUGAUUAGGCAACAUCGGUUAGUGAGUAGGUCAUCUCCGACACUUCCCUCACCUAAUACUAUUGUCGCCACCUCUCCUUCGACACUGGCUCCGACGUCAAGGUCUUUGGUACCUCUGCCCCAGCCCACGAUGUCUGUAAUGCCUGAGUCAUCGACAUAUUCAGUGACUCAUCCGUUAGUGUGAGCACUCGACAGUCUCAUAGACGGCCCUGGAGUAGUGAGGAGCAUGAGGAGUCUGCAUCGGCUUCCAUAGUUGAGGGAAAAUGAUCCGAGACAGUUCGUAAAAGGACUAAGGGCCCAUGCAGAUUCCUGGGCAUAGCACAGCUCACGCGCACCACCUAAGAGCUUAUCAAGAUUACGUGGGAUGCUCGACAUCGGACGACAGUAACAAAGGAGCAGCACAACCACUUGGUCCAUGACGUUGGCUCUAUUGUGCGUCACCAUUGCCCCUGUAGUGGGAAUCUUGGAGAGCUAUCCCAACGGAGACCAAGGCCUCCGUUCUUCAUGAGUUAUCGGCUAGUACUGUCGACUUUUAUGACUAUUUUUUUAAUAAAGAAGUGAACAUUAAUGAAUUUUAACUUGAUUAAUAAUUUUCCUAUUUGCAGCAUCAGUAUGAUCUCCAAGACCUUGAUGCCAAGCAAACCAAGUACAUACAAGAGCUUUUCACCGACCGGUUCACUUAGUGGAAGAGCGACUUUCACAAGAAUUUCGAGAAAUAUGAGGAUCUGGUUGUUGCUUUAGCACAUGGGUGCCCCAUGGGGUUGGUGAAGCACCCUGAAGAUUGGAUGUGGCUCUGCACCUAUGUUCAGGAUGAAAUAUACCUCAAAAGAGUCAAGGCCAAUGCGAUAUAUAGGUCAAAGAAGAAACUUUUCCACCACUACGACUCUCGACGCUUCUCAUAUAGGAUAGAGGAGCGACGUCAGGGUCAAAGUUUCUUAAGAUUGACAUGUUCAAUAAGGUGUACGUGCGGCACAAGGAUGAGUUGAUGGAUGAGCUCCAUGCUACUAUGGUGGAGAAGAGUCAGGCUAUUGUUGAGGAGGUGGCUUCCCUGCUUCCCCCCGAUCAAGGAGGUGCCCCACCUCAAGGAUGCGGAGUUUUGUAUCAUGACGGACACCCUCGACUACAGACUUGGUUAUGGGCCAAGGAAGGUGUAUCGGGGCAUGGGAAAUGCUCAUCAUCGUGAGAUGGGAGCCUCCUAUUCCAUAUCGGCCUUGGGACAUGUCGCAUCGUUGACAUAGCAAGUAGCCAAACUCCAGCGGCAGGUGGUGGCCUAAAAUACCCACAUUGCAGCCUAGACUGCCCCAUAUCACCACCCAAAAUGCCCAUAUUGCUACCUAGGAGUCUAGGAUGAUCCAGAUCAUCUUUGUGCUUCAGGUUCGAUUCAACAUCCCCACCGUUACACCUCCUUCUCAUACACCUUCUACCUCCAAGAACCCUAACCCAACACAGCCGACUAGCAGAGUUGAUAGUAAUGAUUUCUUGUUGUAGUCUUUUUUUUUUUUUAAACAUUCGUACUUCUUAAGUUUUUUCCCGCUUGUAUGUACAUUUUCAUAUUUAUUUUAAAUCAAUAUUUUUCCUUAUCAA